UAAUACGUAGGGGGCAAGCGUUACUCGGAUUUACUGGGCGUAAAGCGAAUUAAGGCGGUCUUGUAAGUCAGAGGUGAAAUCCCUCAGCCUAACUGAGGAAUAGCCUUUGAUACUGCUUGACUAGAGGACAGGAGAGGAAAGUGGAAUUCCCGGUGUAGCGGUGGAAUGCGUAGAUAUCGGGAGGAACACCAGAGGCGAAGGCGGCUUUCUGGACUGGUCCUGACGCUGAUAUUCGAAAGCUAGGGGAGCAAACAGG
rnacentral:rRNA from 1 species